rnacentral:rRNA from 1 species
GAACGCUGGCGGCAGGCCUAACACAUGCAAGUCGAACGGUAACAGGAAGAAGCUUGCUCUUGCUGACGAGUGGCGGACGGGUGAGUAAUGUCUGGGAAACUGCCUGAUGGAGGGGGAUAACUACUGGAAACGGUAGCUAAUACCGCAUAACGUCGCAAGACCAAAGAGGGGGACCUUCGGGCCUCUUGCCAUCGGAUGUGCCCAGAUGGGAUUAGCUAGUAGGUGGGGUAACGGCUCACCUAGGCGACGAUCCCUAGCUGGUCUGAGAGGAUGACCAGCCACACUGGAACUGAGACACGGUCCAGACUCCUACGGGAGGCAGCAGUGGGGAAUAUUGCACAAUGGGCGCAAGCCUGACGCAGCCAUGCCGCGUGUAUGAAGAAGGCCUUCGGGUUGUAAAGUACUUUCAGCGGGGAGGAAGGGAGUAAAGUUAAUACCUUUGCUCAUUGACGUUACCCGCAGAAGAAGCACCGGCUAACUCCGUGCCAGCCGCUGC